CGCACGGAGGCAGAGCCACUUGGCAUUGAAAUUGGACUUGAAAUUUUCUAAAAAUGGCCGUUCUCCACUUUCUCUUUGACACAAAACCUAGGCCACAUUUUAGGGGGUCUGCAGAACCCUCUCUGGUUUCUUUCAUCAGCAUUUCCCGUGCAUGAUCCUUACUGAAGCUAAUGAAGCGUAGCUUGUUGGAGAGUUCGUAAGCAAGAGGCAAAACUCCUGUUGGUCACCACUCACCACUACAGCUAUUUAACACAUAGUGCAGCCUAACUGCCUAUUCAGGCGGAUGAUCUGCAGCCUGUUCCUGUUGAGAAUUAAUCGGAUGGUUGCCUGAAGUUUCACCAAAAUCUUGCUGCCCCUCAUUUGGAUUCUCCAUACUCUGCUUCAGUGCCAUCAUCUGAAUGCAAUUGUAGAGACUUCAGUUAAGAUAGACUUCUAAGCAAGAAAGAAAGCUGAAAUCGAUUGACUGAAAUUUAGAGAGACUGUGCCCUUGUAUCUAGUUCAUGCAAGCAGUUCAAGCACCGGUCAAGAUGAAAUAAAAAGGAUUGAGACUGUUGGCUAGAUAUUUUAAACUGAAUGGUAAAUGUGUGUGUUGCCUGAUCUGAUAAACGAAAAGGUUUAAACGAAUAAGGAGGGAAAUUAGGACAUGCACAUUAUUAAGCAUCCUGAAAUUCUAUGGGCUAGAUUGGGUGAUGGAGAAAAUUUUGCCAAGUUCAUUUAACAGCUGAGUGAAUUGCAUACCUCUUCAUGGACGAAUUGCAUACUCUUUUCAUUGAUGUUCAUUACAGACUCCAUCAUCAGUUGGUCCUGCAGAAAACAGCAUUGACAGUGAAUAGCAGAGGGCAUGAGUUCGAAUAAGGUCAAAGUAGUGUUUGUGUAUAGUGGGGUAUGAGCUGACAACCUUCUUUGCGAUUUUGCGAAGGUUAUCUACCCAUCCGAAAUGAAAUCCCAUUAAAAAAUCAUGCCAAAAAAUUGGUAUAUGUUUUUUAUGCAACAGUCUUUCUUGCUGAAACUACGCUAAAGAAAAAUACAAAUGCUGGAGUUGGUAUUAACCAUGCUCCCAUUAUAGCAGUUGGAUAAAGAGCACAAAUUGGCUCUUGAAAUGUUGACAGAAAUGGAUUGCCAAACACACAGGAAAAGUAGGGAACACAGAAAAAGCCAGAACAGCAUGAAAGAUGCCAGAGAUACACUCUACAAGUUGUCAUUAGAGACUAAGAAAUAGCUCAAAACAGUGACAUUCAAGAGUAUUUUGGAUCUGUAGAGGAUCCCACACUAGCAGUUUGGGAUUUUCUGUAUUUCUUGAGGAAGUAGGGUAUCCCCAUUGUCACCCAAAACAAAAAAGAAGUAAACUGGUGUCUAUUGCUCUGCUAUUUUAGAAA